rnacentral:lncRNA from 1 species
CUGGAGUUCUCCCUGUGCCUCUGCUGCAAAGAUUUGUCUGCUUGCGGAGAGCAGUUCAAUCUCUUCUCCACACCAUGGCUGGACAAGGACACUCUGCUCUGCCUUUCCCCCUCUCACCCAUGGCGGGGGUCGGGUGUGGAGCUGAAGCGUGGAGAGUCAAUCCAAUUCUGAGGUUGGAUAUUAGGUAGGCUGUGGUUGCCACGCAUCUAUGCCACAUCCAUCAUAAGGGCGAUAUUUUUAUCUCUGAUUUCUCUACUCUUCUGCCGAUUUCACUUGUAGAAACUGGGAGAGGAAAAGCAGCCUAAUUUAUACACCUUCUCAUACACCUCACAAAAUAGGCUCAUUUAUAGUCAUUACAAACUUGGAUGACAUUACUCUGCGUGUUGCUUUGAAGAAGCCCAGAGGAAAGCCUGUUUGCAGUGGACUGCAUCUGGUGAGAAGCCUAUGAAUUUGAAAUUUUGAUUUUAGGUGCAGGGUUUAUAACCUAGAUAUGACUUGACAUCUGUUCUUUUUCCUUCUGCACCACAAACAUGAGAAAAACCCUACUGACCUGAUUUUUUAAUAGAGCAUUGUGAGUAGGAACCUGAAAUUACCAGAUGUAGGUGCUUCAGUCCAUUUCUUGGAAUUUUCUGCGCCCUGUUUUCUUUUCUGUGAUGUAGGAAUGAUGGUGCUUCACAAAGUUGCUGAGGGCAUUAAAGUAAUGAAACAUAUAUACGAAAAACAGUGCAGUACCUGGCCCAUCACAGGCAUUCGAUAAAUGUUUAAUAAACACCAGUGCUGUGGUAGGUGCUGUGUCAUAAAAAGAGUAUUUUCUAUGCCUCAGUGAACUCGGCAACCCAGCGUUGUGCCGUCCAAGAUAGAGCAAUUUAAAAAGAAGGAACAGAAAAAUCAUUCCGUUACUGGUGACCUCACCUUUUCCCUUUCUAUUUUCUAAAUUUGUCUUUUUAUUUUUAAUUCAACCUAUGCCAUUUUGAUCCUGUAAGAUCUAUUUCUUGAUGUUUCUAUUAGAUGAAAUUUCCUUUUAAGACUGUCAAUGUUGCUUUAAGAAAGAGACAAAGCCCGAAGUCUGCUGCCAGCUGGCUCUCUUGGUGGCAUCCCAGUCGUUCUGUGAAGUCAACUGACCCCAGGACAGAGGGGAGAGGGUGCGAAGGCUGGAAGAUGGCUCAUGCUGUUCAACUAGUCUAAACUGAGUUUGGAGUACAAAAGAAGAGAGGUAGAAACGUUUCAAGACAACCUCAAAAUUUUCUUUCCUUUCUGUGUGGAAGAUAAAACAAGCGUGACUCGACUUCUUUAGUUUCUUUGAUAUUCCUGGGGAAUAGCCGAGUGUUCUUUCUGUAAGGGCUCAUGAGCUGCAGGUUGU